UCCAUCGUUAGGUGGAAUCUGAAGGAAGCCGGAGGCAAAGUCCCGACUCGAUGAACAAUAACCUCAUAUGAGGCUGACUUGAGGUGGACGAGUUUGAUACACAAAACAAAGUCCAACACUACCAGAACCUCAUGCAGUAAAUGUGGCGAUUAUAUAGGACGAAAGCGGUCGCU
rnacentral:ncRNA from 1 species